rnacentral:rRNA from 1 species
GAUGAACGCUGGCGGCGUGCCUAAUACAUGCAAGUCGAGCGAACAGACGAGGAGCUUGCUCCUCUGACGUUAGCGGCGGACGGGUGAGUAACACGUGGAUAACCUACCUAUAAGACUGGGAUAACUUCGGGAAACCGGAGCUAAUACCGGAUAAUAUAUUGAACCGCAUGGUUCAAUAGUGAAAGACGGUUUUGCUGUCACUUAUAGAUGGAUCCGCGCCGCAUUAGCUAGUUGGUAAGGUAACGGCUUACCAAGGCAACGAUGCGUAGCCGACCUGAGAGGGUGAUCGGCCACACUGGAACUGAGACACGGUCCAGACUCCUAAGGGAGGCAGCAGUAGGGAAUCUUCCGCAAUGGGCGAAAGCCUGACGGAGCAACGCCGCGUGAGUGAUGAAGGUCUUCGGAUCGUAAAACUCUGUUAUUAGGGAAGAACAAAUGUGUAAGUAACUAUGCACGUCUUGACGGUACCUAAUCAGAAAGCCACGGCUAGCUACGUG